rnacentral:rRNA from 1 species
GACGAGAGGAACAAGUAUUAUUCGGUUAUACUGGGCGUAAAGAGUCUGUAGGCAGAAAUAUGUAAGUGGAAAGUUAAAAGUCGAAGCAUAACUUUGACUAAUGCUUUUUAAACUGUAUUUUCUGGAGUAGUUAGCAGGAUAGUAAUAUUUUUUAAGGAGCGUUAAAAAGUCGAUAUAAAAAGGAUAGCCAAUAGGUGAUAACAACUAUCUAGUGAUUUGUUUUACUGACGUUGAGAGACUAAAGCAUGGGGAGCAAACAGGAUUAGAGACCCUGGUAGUCCAUGCCCUGAAAUAUGAAUGUUAAAUGUUGGAGAAAUCUAGCAUUCAAAGCUAACGCGUUAAACAUUUCGCCUGAGGACUACGAUCGCAAGAUUAAAACUCAAAGGAAUUGACGGGAGCUUGUUAGAAGCGGUGGAGCAUGUGGUUUAAUUCGAUAAUACGCGCAAAACCUUACCAGUUUUAUAAGGAGGUGCUGCAUGGCUGUUGUCAGCCCGUGUCGUGAGAUGUGACAUGAAAAUGCUUAACGGGCAGAACCCUUAGUUAUAAAUUGCUAUUUAAAAUCUUAUUUUAAAGCUACAUUAUAAUUUAGACAUAUUUUAUUUAAACAAUAAAUUGUCAGUUUUCGGAAGCAGCGGGCUGCGGGGAUAUCAACUAAUAUGAUUGGUAUUUAUCACGGCUUUGUUUUCUGCAAAGGGGAUGACUUCAAGUCGUCAUGGCCCAAUAAACUGGGCUACUCAUGUGCUACAAUGGUAUUUACAAAAAGAUGCAAAAAUGCAAAUUUGAGCAAAUCUUUUAAAAAGUAUCUUAGUUCGGAUUGUAGACUGCAACUCGUCUACAUGAAGAUGGAAUCGCUAGUAAUCGUAGAUCAGCACGCUACGGUGAAUACUAUUAACCGGGCUU